rnacentral:lncRNA from 1 species
GGACGCCGCCGGGAGCCGCCGGGAGCCGCCGGGGUGGGCGGGAGUCGGGGCGGCGCGCAGGUUCCCGGCCCCCUAAGGGACGGUUGCCUUCCCCAGAGCCGGGGACACAGGCGUACGUGCGGGGACCUCGGCGCUGGCCUCCGGGCUUCUGGAGCCCCUCCCUGGUGCGGAGCGGGGACGGUGACCUCCUCGUGGAUUCUGGGAGGGGCAGCCUUGGCAUCAGGACCUGGAAGCCGGAGAGGCUGCAGGGCUUCCAGCCAUGGCCUUGCCACCGGAGGUCACGUAGUGUUUCCACAUUUCCUUAGUGUGUACAUGUGUGGGUCCCUGUGUUGUGGAGGGCUGUGUCUGCUUGGUGUGUGUGCACACGCGUGUGUGCAUGGGUGGGUCCCUGUGUUGUGUAGGGGCCGUGUCUGCUUGGUGUGUGUGCACACGCGUGUGUGCAUGGGUGGGUCCCUGUGUUGUGGAGGGCUGUGUCUGGGCAGGCUGUGUACACACCCAUGUGCAUGUGUGAUGCGCACUGGGGCACUUGUCUGGGUAGUAGAGGUGGAGGCCUGUGUGGCCAUAUGUGCAACUGUGUGUCCGGGUGCGUGUACCACAGUCUUCCCUAAAAUAGUAAUACUGGGACCUACGUCAUGGGGCUGUUGUGACCGCGUGUGGCACUCCAUGUGGGGUGGCACAGCCAGGCGCUGAUCCGGCCACUUUGCCAGUCGGACUGACUGCGUGUCCUCUCCUUAGGGGUGAGAAGCUUCCUGGCAUCGGGCCUGGGCUCCUGAGCCCCUGAGCCAACCGACUGAUGGUCCCUGGGAGACAGCCCCCGCCCUGCUCCUGCCCCCCACACCUGAAAGGCUCAUUGUGUGGGUUUGCUGUGCUCCACAGGGAUGUAAACCGCCCCUCCUUUUCCCUGUUCUGUCUGUGAGAAGGUGCCAGGGAUACUUUUUUUUUUUUUUGAGACCAAGCUUCACUCUUAUUGCCCAGGCUGGAGCGCAAUGGCGCGAUCUCGGCUCACUGCAACCUCCACCUCCCAGGUUCAAGCGAUUCUCCUGCCUCAGCCUCCCGAGUAGCUGGGAUUAUAGGCAUGUGCCACCACACCUGGCUAAUUUUUUUUUUUCAGCAGAGAUGGAGUUUUCUCCAUGUUGGUCAGGCUGGUCUCGAACUCCUGACCUCAGGUGAUCCGCCGGCCUCAGCGUCCCAAAGUUCUGGGAUUGCAGGCGUGAGCCACCGUGCCCAGCCCGUUUUUUUUAAGAGUCGGGGUUUCACUUUAUCGCCCAGACUGGAGUGCAGUGGUGCAAUCAUGGCUCACUGCAGCCUCAACCUCCUGGGCUCAAGCAAUUCUCCCGCCUCAGCCUCCUGAGUAGCUGGGAUCACAGGUAUGCACUAAUUUUUGUAUUUUUUUGUAGAGACAGGGUCUUGCUAUGUUGUCCAGGCUGGUCUUGAACUCCUGGGCUCAAGCAAUCCUCCUACCUUAGCCUCCCAAAGUGCUGAGAUUACAGGCGUGACCCACGGCCCCCAGCCAGGGAUACUUAUGGAGGUCCCUGGGCAGUUCAGGUAAAGAGGAUCCCACUGCCAGGCACGGAGGCUCAUGCCUGUAAUCCCAGCAUUUUGGGAGGCUAAGGCAGGAGGAUGAGUUGCGCCCAGGAGGUUGAGGCUGCAGUGAGCCAAGAUUGUACCACUGCACUCCAGUCUGGGCAACAGAGCAAGACCCUGUCUUAAUAAAAGAAAAAAGAAAGAAAAAAAAAGGCCGGGCGCGGUAGCUCACACCUGUAAUCCCAGCACUUUGGGAGGCUGAGGCGAGUGGAUCGCUUGAGCUCAAAAGUUCAAAACCAGCCUGGCCAACAUGGCAAAACCCCAUCUCUACAAAAAGUUAGCUGGGCAUGGUGGCAGGCACUUGUGGUCCCAGCUACUUGGGAGGCUGAGACAGGAGAAUUGCUUGAACCCAGAAGGCAAAGCUGGCAGUGAGCUGAGAUGGUGCCACUGCACACCGGCCUAGGCAACAGAGUGAGUGAGACUUCAACAGGAUUCAUGAGAAGAGUCUGUUUUUAAAGCACACCUUCCUCUUCUAGGACUUUGAUAGAAGGAGGUUAAAGUGCUCUGUUUCUGUGUCUUCUGAGAGGGUGGCCGCUCCCAGGGCAUACAGCCCUCACCAUUUCCCCCUUUGAUGGACAGAGAUGAGUUUCUUCUUAGCAGACUUUGGCCCACCAAGCCAGAAAUGUGUCCAAGAAAAGCUCAAGGAGGAAAGAGAGUCAACCAAAUUCACUUUCGGAGCACCUCCCACAGUAGAGAGGUUACGCGGGCUACAAAAUUGUAUGAAAACCUCCCUACCCUGGAACUUGGGUGAAGCUUGAGGACACCAUGCUGAGUGAAAUUAGCCAGACACAGAAGGACAAAUUCUGUGGGAUCCCACUUACGUAAGGGUGACAAGAAGGAAGAGGCUGAGGUGCAAAUUAUGAUUUAAAGAGUUGACUUGAGCCAAGGUGAGGACAGCUGCCUGGGAGACUCGAGUGGCCUUGGAUAUGAGCCCCAUUAGGCCUUUAUUACAAUCAGGAUUUUAAAGGCAAAAAGGGGAACAGGGAGUGGCUGAUACAAAGUUGUUUUUCAGGAAUUCUUGUUGGUUGACAGAAAUAACAUUGAUUAGUGAUGGGCUGUGCACCGUUGAGCUGCAGGGUGUGGGUUGCAGGGUGGGGGAUGGCAUUGUUAGGUUAAUUCACAGCUAGCAAGUUCCAAGACAUCAACACACAGCUCAAUGUGUUGGAGGGAGAUAUCUGCAGUUGUUACCAGACAGGGGUCCCGAUCCAGACCCCCAGAGGGCGUUCUUGGAUCUCGCGCAAGAAAGAAUUCAGAGCGAGUCCAUAGAGACAAGUGAAACCAGUUUAUUAAGAAAAUAAAGAAAUAAAGAAUGGCUACUCCAUAGGCGAGCAGCUGAGGGCUGCUGGUUGCCCAUUUUUAUGGUGAUUUCUUGAUGAUAUGCUAAACAAGGGGUGGAUUAUUCAUGCUCCCCUUUUUAGACCAUAUAGGGUAACUUCCUGACGUUGCCAUGGCAUCUGUAAACUGUCACGGAGCUGGUGGGAGUGUAGCAGUGAGGAUGACCAGAGGUCACUCUUGUGGCCAUUUUGGUUUUGGUGGGUUUGGCCGGCUUCUUUGCUGCAACCUGUCUUAUCAGCAAGGUCUUUAUGAUCUAUAUCUUGUGCCAAUCUCCUAUCUCAUCCUGUGACUUAGAAUGUCUCACUUCCUGGGAAUGCCGUCCAAUAGGUCUCAGCCUCAUUUUACCCAGCUCCUACUCAAGAUGGAGUUGCUCUGGUUCAAACAUGCCUGACAUUUUCUCUUUCCCUUUUAUAAGAGAACCCUUAAUCCUAAGAGUUGCAGGGGGAUGAAGAUCCAUCUUCUGUAACUUCUUCAGGCUGAAUAGGGGCGAUGACAUUCCUGCCUAACUAUUAGGGUCCCUUGUGUUCAGGGUAGAGAGGAGCACAGUCAGAAGGCAUCAGUGUGGUGAGGGCUAUUCAUAACUCUUAAGUUCCAACAAAAGGUGAUAUCUGGGCAAUUAAUAAGUGUUCAGUUUAAGAAAACAUUGAGCAAGUUUAUUUUGCAUACCUACACAGAGUACAACAACAAUAUAUUCCACAAUAGUAAAGCAAAAUAAGUACAAUUAUUCCAAGUAAACUAAAUUAGAAGGCUUUUCAUGAACUGGGCAACUAUUGGAACCAAGAUGAUGUGAGGUUGCUAGCCAAUUCUAGUGUGCCCAGAAUUAGAAUAUUGAUUCAGAUUUUUACAUUACCCAUCCCUCUUAUUUCUUCUGAGCAGCAGUCAGAGUUCACUGGUUGGUUCACAGGAAUAAGCAAGGUUAGCCUAAAUUCCAGAAGCAAAUCUAAAAACAACUGAUGAGACUAGAAUUUAAAAACAACAUACCACAGUUCCUGAAACAUAAUAUUUCUCUCUCUAGUUUCCCAUUUUUACUAAAGGCAAAUCAUGGUAAGACUGAUUUACUUUAUUAUACUUGGCCUGAUUAUUUGUAUAAAGGGCAGCAAGAAUAUUUUUCACAUAGGUUCUUUUUAAAUUGGCUUUGAUGGAACUCUGUUCCGUAGAAGGAAUCUUAGCUAAGACUCUUUUAGAACUGAGCCCCGCCAUGGGUUUGUACCCUCAAAUACCUGUAAGUUGAGUAAAUUUCUCUCCUCUUGAGUUUCCAAGAUAACUUGGGGCUCCUGGGCCUGUGAGAAAGUGACUUUUUUUUUUUUUGAGACCGAAUCUCGCUCUGUUGCCCAGGCUGGAGUGCAGUGGCAUGAUCUCUGCUCACUGCAAGCUCCGCCCCCCCGGGUUCAUGCCAUUCUCCUGCCUCAGCCUCCUGAAUAGGUGGGACUACAGGUGCCCGCCACCAUGCCCCGCUAAUUUUUUGUAUUUUUAGUAGAGACAGGGUUUCACCAUCUUAGCCAAGAUGGUCUCAAUCUCCUGACCUCAUGAUCCACCCGCCUCAGCCUCUCAAAGUGCUGGGAUUACAGGCAUGAGCCACCGCACCCAGCAUAAAGUGACAUUCUUUACUUACCACGGGUCAGGAACUCUGUAUAAGGACUGUGGAGAGAACGUAUCAGGUCAGUUUUCCCAAGGGGCUUUAUCAGCUCUAUAAGUCACGUUUAAUUUCUUAAAGGAAAACACAUCAUUCUAGUCAAAUCCUUGGUAAAAUAAGCAGUUUCUCCAAUUGUGUCCUGUUGCAAAAGAAAACAGAUUCCUGGCCAGGCACAGUGGCUCACACCUGUAAUCCCAGCGCUUUGGGAGGCCGAGGCAGGCAGACCACCUGAGGUCAAGAGUUCAAGACCAGCCUGGCCAACAUGGUGAAACCUCAUCUCUACUACAAAUACAAAAAUUAGCCAGGUGUGGUGGCUGGCACCUGUAAUCCCAGCUACUUGGGAGGCAGAGACAGGAGAAUUGCUUGAACCUGGGAGGCGGAGGUUGCAGUGAGCCGAGAUCAUACCAUUGCACUCCAGCCUGGGCAACAGAGCAAGACUCUGUCUCAAAAAAAAAAAAAAAAAAGAAAACAGAUUCUUAUUGCACUUAUGCAAAUAGCUAUAUUGCCAUAAAUUAAGAAUACUCACAACUAGUUCCCAAAUUUUGGAGAAAUUAGGUAGAGAGAAACAAAUAUGCUCCAAAUUUUAUUCAUACAAGUAUACUUAUUCAAUUGUUAAAAGCUAUAACUCGCUCAAAAGUUUCCUUGAUUCUGAAAAACAAAACAAAGGAUCAGCAAUAUUUUAAGCAAAAAGUUAAAAAGAUUACUUCUGGUUUCUAUUAGUUUAGUCCAUGUAGUUAACUUCUGUUUGAUAUUCAUGGACAUUUCAGCUCUCCAUAAGAAUUCUAAAAGUUUUUUCCUCUAUUCUGAUGUCACCAUCACCAGUUAUCGGAAACCUGCACUCAAGAACAUCUGUCAAAGUCCUGUAGCUGAUUAUAAACCACCUUCUAAAGAGGACCAAAACAAGACAACCAUUGUUUGUGGAUGACAAAACAUCUUCGGACAGCCAUCAUUAAAGCCACAACUGAUAAGGAAAUUUGAUUACUUCUGUGGCAUACAAAAUUUUACAUAACAAUUAUAUCUAUUAAUAACAUACACUAAAUCAUGUGAGAAUUAUAGGAGUUUUAAAAGUAAUUUUGGAACACAUACCAAUAACACAUUUAUAUAUACAAAUACAGCCCAAAGAAAACCAAAUACCAUUUUAUAUUUGACAAUGCUUCCUGUAAGAUUCUUGUACCAAGCCAGGUGUGGUGGAUCAUGCCUGUAAUCCCAGCACUUUGGGAGGCUGAGGUGGGUGGAUUGCCUGAGGUCAGGAGUUCAAGACCAGCCUGACCAACAUGCUGAAACCCUGUCUCUACCAAAAAUACAAAAUUAGCCGGGCAUGGUGGCAUGAGCCUGUAGUCCCAGCUACUCAGGAGACUGAGGCAGGAGAAUUGCUUGAACCCGGGAGGCAGAGGUUGCAGUGAGCCAAGAUUGUGCUGCUGCAUUCCAGCCUGGGUGACAGAGUGACACUCUGUCUCAAAAAAAAAAAAAAAAAAAAAAGAUUCUUGUACCAAAUAAGCCAAAUGUCAUUGUUGCAUUAGGGCCCCUAGCCUAAUCUACAAUCUAAUGCUCCAAGGUAGGUGAACUGAACGGUUUUCAAAAGUCAAAGAAGCAGUUUAUGACCUUAAAGCAUUUAGCAAGCUUAAAAUCUGACCUGCAUGAUUUAGACCAAAUGUUUACAUUUUUGAAGAUAUUUUUAUUUUACCAAUAAUCUUUAAAGCUGCCUUUAUUUCCCAAAAAUUACUUAAGUCACAUGAACUAAAAGGCAUUAUACUUUUAAAUUUUCUGAUAAAAUAUCUGAUUUAAGGUCUUACUGUUAUUAAACCAAUUAAUCAAAGCUCUUUCAUAUAUAAACAUCACACUCAUAACACAUAUAAAUACAGACAGAAGAUAAAGGACUCAUUCCCUAAGCCAGGAAUUGGACCCUGAACCCAAGGCACCGCUGUGAAAAGAGAAAGCACAACCACAUGGUUACAAGAUCCAGCUCCCAAGGACAUACAAGGCAGUAAGGAAAUCUCAUCCAGUUUUUUUCAGGGACCUACAGCAUAGUUUAUAACUGACCAGUUUGCUAGGCCAUCUUGAACAAACCUAAGAAUAAUUGGUGUUCCUGAGGAAUAAGAGAAAUCUAAAAGUUUGGAAAAUAUAUUUGGUGGAAUAAUCGAGGAAAACUCCCCAGCCUUGCUAGAGACCUAGACAUCCAAACACAAGAAGCUCAAAGAACACCUGAGAAAUUCAUUGCAAAUAGGUCAUCACCUAGGCACAUUAUCAGGUUAUCUAAAGUUAAGACGAAGAAAAGAAUCUUAAGAGCUGUGAGAAAAAAGCACCACGUAACCUAUAAAGGAAAAUCUAUGAGACUAACAGCAGAUUUCUCAGCAGAAACCCUAAAAGCAAGAAGGGAUUGGGAGCCCAUCUUCAGCCUCCUCAAACAAAACAAUUAUCAGCAAAAGAAUUUUUUACCCAGUGAAACUAAGCUUCCUAAAUAAAGGAAAGAUAGGCCUUUUUCAGACAAACAAAUGCUGAGAGAAUUUGUCAUUACCACACCACCACUAUAAGAACUACUAAAAGGAGCUGUAAGUCUUGAGACAGAUCCUGGAAACACAUCAAAACAGAAUCUCUUUAAAGCAUAAAUCUCACAGCACUUAUAAAACAGAAAUACCAUAAAAAAAAAACCCCAAGCUAUACAAGCAACAAAUAGCAUGAUGAAUGGAAUGGUACCUCACAUCUCAAUACUAACAUUAAAUGUAAAUGGUCUAAAUGCUCCACUUAAAAGAUACAGAAUUGCAGAAUGGAUAAGAACUCACCAACCAACUAUCUGCUGCCUCAAGAGACUCACCUAACAUGUAAGGACUCACAUAAACUUAAGGUAAAGGGGUGGAAAAGACAUUCCAUGCAGAUGGACACCAAUAGGGAGCAGGAGUAGUUAUUGUUAUCUCAGACAAAACAAACUUUAAAGCAACAGCAGUUAAAAAACAGAAAGAGGGAAAUUAUAUAAUGAUAAAAGGCCUUGUCCAACAGGAAAAUAUCACAGUCCUAAAUAUAUAUGCACUUAACACUGGAGCUCCCAAGUUCAUAAAACCAGGACUAAUAGACCAAAGAAAUGAGAUACACAGCAACACAAUAAUAGUGGGGGACCUCAAUACUGCACUGACAGCACUAGACAGAUCAUCAAGACAGAAAGUCGACAAAGAAACAAUUUAACACAUUUAAACUAUACCCUGGAACAAGUGGACUUAACAGAUAUAUACAGAACAUUCUACCCACCAACCACAGAAUAUACAUUCUAUUCAACAGUACAUGGAACUUUCUUCGAGGUAGACCAUACGAUAGGCCACAAAAUGAGCCUCAAUAAAUUUAAGAAAAUUGAAAUUAUAUCAAGCACUCUCUCAGACCACAGUGGAAUAAAACUGGAAAUCAAUUCCAAAAGGAACCUUCAACACCAUGCAAAUACAUGGAAAUUAAAUAACCUGCUCCUGAAUGAUCAUUGAGUCAAAAAUGAAAUCAAGAUGAAAAUCAAAACAUUCUCUGGCCAGGCACAGUGGCUCAUGCCUAUAAUCCCAGCACUUUGGGAGGCCGAGGUGGGUGGAUCAUGAAGUCAGGAGUUUGAGACCAGCCCGACCAACAUGGUGAAACCCUGUCUCUACUAAAAAUACAAAAAUUAGCCAGGUGUGGUGGUGGGUGCCUGUAAUCCCAGCUACUCAGGAGGCUGAGCAGGAGAAUCACUUGAACCCAGGAGGCGGAGGUUGCCGAGAUCACGUCAUUGCAUGCCAGCCUGGGCGACAGGGCGAGACCCCGUUUCAAGAAAAAAAAAAAAAAUUCUCCGAACUGAACGACGAUAGUGACACAACCUAUCAAAACCUCUAGGAUACAGCAAAGGCGGUGCUAAGAGGAAAGUUCAAAGCCCUAAACGCCUACAUCAAAAAGUCUGAAAGAGCACAAACAGACAAUCUAAGGUCACGCCUCAAGGAACUAGAGAAACAAGAACAAACCAAACCCAAACCCAGCAGAAGAAAGGAAAUAACUGAGAUCAGAGCAGAACUAAAUGAAAUUGAAACAAAAAAAAAAAUAGAAAAGAUAAAUAAAAAGCUGGUUCUUUGAAAAGAUAGAAUUGAUAGACCAUUAGCAAGAUUAACCAAGAAAAGAAAAGAGAAAAUCCAAAUAAGAUCAAUUAGAAACAAAACGAGAGAUAUUACAACUGACACCACAGAAAUACAAAAGAUCAUUCAAGGCUACUGUGAACACCUUUAUGCACAUAAACUAGAAAACCUAGAGAAUAUGGAUAAAUUCCUGGAAAAAUACAACUCUCCUAGCUUAAAUCAGGAAGAACUAGAUACCACAAACAGACCAGUAACAAGCAGCGAGAUUGAAAUGGUAAUUUAAAAAUUACCAACAAAAAAAAAGUCCAGGACCAGAUGGAUUCACGGCAGAAUUCUACCAUUCAAAGAAGAAUUGGUACCAAUCCUAUUGACACUAUUACACAAGAUAGAGAAAGAGGGAACCCUCCCUAAAUCAUUCUAUAAAGCUGGUAUCACCCUAAUACCAAAAUCAGGAAAGGACAUAACCAAAAAAGAAAACUACAGACCAAUAUCCCUGAUGAACAUAGAUGCUAAAAUCCUUAACAAAACACUAGCUAAGCAAAUCUAACAACAUAUCGAAAAGUUAAUCCAUCAUGAUCAAAUGGGUUUCAUACCAGGGAUGCAGGGAUGGUUUAACAUAUGCAGGUCAUUGGGCAUGGUGGCUCACACCUGUAAUACCAGUGCUUUGGGAGGCCGAGGUGGGUGGAUCAUGAGGUCAGGAAUUCGAAACCAGCCUGACCAAGAUGGUGAAACCCCAUCUCUACGAAAAAAAAAUACAAAAAUUAGCUAGGCGUGGCGGCACAUGCCUGUAGUCCCAGCUACUUGGGAGGCUGAGGCAGGAGAAUCACUUGAACCCAGGAGGCGGAGGUUGUGGUGAGCCAAGAUCGUGCCAUUGCACUCCAGCCUGGGCGACAAGAGUGAAACUCUGUCUAAAACAAACAAACAAAAAACCUACGCAGGUCAAUAAAUGUGAUACACCACAUAAACAGAAUUAAAAACAAAAAUCACAUGAUCAUCUCAAUAGAUGCAGAAAAAGCAUUCAACAAAAUUCAGCAUCCCUUUAUGAUUAAAACUCUCAGCAAAAUCAGCAUACAAGGGACAUACCUCAAUGUAAUAAAAGCCAUCUAUGACACACCCACAGCCAACAUAAUACUGAAUGGGGAAAAGUCGAAAGCAUUCCCUCUGAGAACUGAAACAAGACAAGGAUGUCCACUCCUCUUCAACAUAGUACUGGAAGUCCUAGCCAGAGCAAUCAGAUAAGAGAAAGAAAGAAAGGGCAUCCAAAUCAGUAAAGACGAAGUCAAACUGUCACUGUUUGCUGAUGAUAUGAUUGUUACCUAGAAAACCCUAAAGACUCCUCUAGAGAGCUCCUAGAACUGAUAAAAGAAUUCAGCAAAGUUUCCAGAUACAAAAUUAAUGUACACAAAUCAGUAGCUCUUCUAUACACCAACAGUGACCAAGCAGAGAAUCAAAUCAAGAACUCAACCUCUUUUACAAUAGCUGCAAAAAAAAACAAAAAAAAACAACUUAGGAAUAUACCUAACCAAGAAGGUGAAAGACCUCUACAUGGAAAACUACAAAACACUACUGAAACAAAUCAUAGAUAACACAAACAAAUGGAAACACAUCCCAUGCUCAUCGUUGGGUAGAAUCAAUAUUGUUAAAAUGACCAUAGUGCCAAAAGCAGUCUACAAAUUCAACGCAAUUCCCAUCAAAAUAGCACCAUCAUUCUUCAAAGAAUUAGAAAAACAAUCCUAAAAUUCAUGUGGAACCAAAAAAGGGCCCUCAUAGCCAAAGCAAGACUAAGCAAAAAGAACAAAUCUGGAGGUAUCACAUUACCUGAUUUCAAACUAUAAUGUGAGGCCGUAGUCACCAAAACAACACGGUACUGGUACAAAAGUAGGCACAUAGACCAAUGGAACGCAAUAGAGAACCCAGAAAUAAACCCGAAUACUUACAGCCAACUGAUCUUCAACAAAGCAAACAAAAACAUACAGUGAGGAAAGGACACCCUAUUCAACAAACGGUGCUGGGAUAAUUGGCAAGCCACAAGGAGGAGAAUGAAACUGGAUCCUUAUCUCUCAUUUUAUACACAAAUCAACUCCAGAUGGAUCAAGGACUUAAAUCUAAGACCCGAAACUAUAAAAAGUGAGAAAGAUAACAUUGGAAAACCCCUUCUAAACAUUGGCUUGGGCAAGGAUUUCAUGACCAAGAACCUAAAAGCAAAUGCAAUAAAAACAACCAUGAAUAGCUGGGAGUUAAUUAAAGAGCUUUUGCACAGCAAAAGGAACAAUCAGAGGGCCGGGCGCAGUGGCUCACGCCUGUAAUCGCAGCACUUUGGGAGGCCGAGGCGGGCAGAUCACCUGAGGUCGGGAGUUUGAGACCAGCCUGACCAACAUGGAGAAACCCCAUCUCUCAUUAAAAGAAAAUACAAAAUGAGCUGGAUGUGGUGGUGCAUGCCUGUAAUCCCAGCUACUUGGAAGGCUGAGGCAGGAGAAUUGCUUGAACCUAGGAGGUGGAGGUUGCGGUGAGCUGAGAUUGUGCCAUUGCACUCCAGCCUGGGCAACAAGAACGAAACUCCGUCUCAAAAAAAAAAAAAAAAAGGAACAGUCAGCAGAGUAAACAAACAACUGACAGAGUAGGAGAAAAUCUUCACAAUCUAUACAUCUGACUAACAUCCAGAAUCUACAACAAACUCAAACAAAUUAGCAAGAAAAAAAAAAAACAAUUCCAUCAAAAAGUGGGCUAAGGACAUGAAUAGACAAGUCUCAAAAGAAGAUAUACAAAUGGCCAACAAAUAUAUGGAAAAAUGCUCAACAUCACUAAUGAUCAGGGGAAUGCAAAUCAAAACCACAAUGCAAUACCACCUUACUCCUGCAAGAAUGGCCAUAAUCAAAACAUCAAAAAGUGAUAGAAGUUGGUAUGGAUGCGGUGAACAGGGAACACUUCUAUACUGCUGGUGGGAAUCUAAACUAGCACAACCAUUAUGGAAAACAGUGUGGAGAUGCCUUAAAGAACUAAAAGUAGAACAACUGUUUGGUCCAGCAAUCCGACUACUGGGUAUCUACCCAGAGGAAAAGAAGUCAUUAUACAAAAAAGAUACUUGCACAUGCCUGUUUAGAGCAGCACAAUUUGCAAUUGCAAAAUGUGGAACCAGCCCAAAUGUGCCCAUCAACUAACGAGUGGAUAAAGAAACUGUGAUAUAUAUAUAUAUGAUGGAAUACUACUCAGCUAUAAAAAGAAAUGAAUUGGCCGGGCACGGUGGCUCAAGCCUGUAAUCCCAGCACUUUGGGAGGCCAAGGCGGGCAGAUCACGAGGUCAGGAGAUCCAGACCAUCCCGGCCAACAUGGGAAAACCCCGUCACUACUAAACAUACAAAAAUUAGCUGGGAGUGGUGGUGCGUGCCCGUAAUCCCAGCUACUUGGGAGGCUGAGGCAGGAGAAUCGCUUGAACCCGGGAGGCAGAGGUUGCAGCAAGCCAAGAUUGAGCCAUUGCACUCCAGCCUGGUGACAGAGCGAGACUCCAUCUCAAAAAAAGAAAGAAAGAAAGAAAGAAAUGAAUUAAUGGCAUUCACAGCAACCUGGAUGAGAUUGGAGACUCUUAUUCUAAGUGAAGUAACUCAGGAAUGGAAAACCAAACAUGAUACGUUCUCACUCAUAAGUGGGAGCUAAAACAUGAGGAUGCAGAGGCAUAAAUAAGAAUGACACGAAGGGGAGGGCGCGGUGGCUCACGCCUGCAAUCCCAGCACUUUGGGAGGCUGAAGUGGGCGGAUCACAAGGUCAGGAGUUUAAGACCAGCCUGGCCAAUAUGGUGAAACCCCAUCUGUACUAAAAAUACAAAAAUUAGCCGGGCAUGGUCGUGGGUGCUUGUAGUCCCAGCUACUUGGGAAGCUGAGGCAGGAGAAUCGCUUCAACCUGGGAGGUGGAGGUUGCAGUGAGCUGAGAUUGAGCCACUGCACUCUUGUCUGGGUGACAGAGUGAGACUCUGUCUCAAAAAAAAAAAAAGAAAGUAAAGAAAUAAAGAAUGGCUGCUCCAUAGGCAGAGCAGCUGAGGGCUGCUGGUUGGUUGCCCAUUUUUAUGGUGAUGUCUUGAUGAUAUGCUAAACAAGGGGUGGAUUAUUCAUGCUCCCUUUUUAGACCAUAUAGGGCAACUUCCUGACGUUGCCAUGGCAUCUGUAAACUGUCACGGAGCUGGUGGGAGUGUAGCAGUGCCGACCAUCAGAGGUCAGGUUUGUGGUCACCAGAGGUCAGGUUUGUGGUCACCAGAGGUCACUCUUGUCGCCAGUUUGGUUUUGGUGGGUUUGGCCAGCUUCUUUUUUUUUUUUUUUUUUUUUUUUUCUGAGACAGAGUUUCGCUCUGUCACCCAGGCUGGAGUGCAGUGGCACAGUGGCGCGAUCUCGGCUCACUGCAAGCUCCGCCUCCCGGGUUCAAGCAAUUCUCCUGCGUCUGCCUCCCGAGUAGCUGGGACUACAGGCGCCCGCCACCACGCCUGGCUAAUUUUUUUGUAUUUUUAGUAGAGACAGGGUUUCACUGUGUUAGCCAGGAUGGUCUCGAUCUCCUGACCUCGUGAUCCGCCCGCCUCAGCCUCCCAAAGUGCUGGGAUUACAGGUGUGAGCCACCACGCCCGGCCAGGGUUUAGCCGGCUUCUUUACUGCAACCUGUCUUUAUGACCUGUAUCUUGUGCUGACCUCCUAUGUCAUCCUGUGACUUGGAAUGUCUAACCUCCUGGGAAUGCAGUCCAGAAGGUCUCAGCCUUUUACCCAACUCCCAUUCAGGAUGGUGUUGCUCUGGUUCAAACGCCUCUAACCCAGUCCUAUUUUAAUGUUUCUCUGGGCCUGAUCAUUGGAAAGGAUUUGCCUUCCUCAGAUGCAAGUUCUUUUCUUUCCUUAGCACGGUCCUCAGAGGAGUGAAAUCCACUGAGACAUAAAUGAGAAGGUGGGUGCUAGGUGCUGGGGAAGGGAGUGGGGAGUGUGUGAUCAGUGGGUCCAGAGUUCACUUCGGGAGGAUGGAAAGUUCUGGAGAGGACAGUGGUGUUGGCUGCACUUCAUGCCGCUGAACUGCAAGCUUCAAAUGGUUAAGAUGGUCAAUUUUAUGUUAUAUAGAUAUUGCCAAACGUUAAAAAGGGGAAGGGGACAGCAUGCGGGCCUAUCUCUGACGGACAGGGAGGAGACGCCUGCUGAGUGAAGGGGAACCACCGCAGGAGGCAGGGAGGGGUCAGCCAGCAUCCACUCCCUCCACAGCUGAAGGCUGCAGCUCCAGGCGGUGAGGGGCGGCUCCUACCUGCCGGGAGCUGGUUGUUGAUAAAUGUCAACGGCCUCUAAAAAUAAACACCCUCCUCCUGGACUUACGCCUCUCUGGGCCGCUUGUUUAAUUAUUCUUUCCUAAGUGGCUCCCGCAAACAAAUCUGUGGCUAUGAGCAUAGUUUUUCAUACUUAUAUUAUUUUAUUAAAUUUUAUUUUUAAUGUACAAAUAAUAAUUGCAUAUUUUUAAUUGAUUUGGCUCCUUGGGGUCAUUUUGAACAAUUUGCUUUGGCCCUACCUGAAGGACCUGGGAAUGUGCGUGUAACUAGCUUUACACACUUUUGCACCACAAACUUCAGUUUUUGCUGAUCCCCUGCCACCGAGGGAUUGGAGAAAAUCUCAGGAUGCUUGUAGAUUAUUCCAAAACAAACAAUCAAGCUUCUCACCUUGUUUGGUGGAACUUUUUUUUGACAUAUUUGUCCCAGAGAUUGUACAGAAGAAGCUAUUUUGCGUCCCUUUUUUUUUUUUUUUUUUUUUUGAGACGGAGUUCCGCUCUUGUCUCCCAGGCUGGAGUGCAGUGGCACGAUCUCGGCUCACUGCAACCUCUGCCUCCCAGGUUCAAGUGAUUCUCUGGCCUCAGCCUCCCGAGUAGCUGGAAUUAUAGGCACCCACCACCACGCCUGGCUAAUGUUUGUAUUUUUAGUAGAGAUGGGGUUUCACCAUGUUGGCCAGGCUGGUCUUUAACUCCUGACCUCAGGUGAUCCGCCCGCCUCUGCCUCCCAAAGUGCUGGGAUUACAGGCGUGAGCCACCGUACCUGGCCUAAAACUGUUUUGCCUCCUAAGAAAAAGCCAAAUGGAAGAGAAAGAAAAUGCCCCCGACAGCCAAAGAAGCUGAAAUUCUCAGAAGCCUAGAGUCGGCUGCUGGAGGAUAGAGCCAAAACUGCUCCAACUUCUUCCUGGAAGCGCACGUGGGGUCCCCUGAGACGUCCACUGGCCUGCACGUCACCAUGGAAUUGCAGGGUUGGGACAUUUUCAUAGUGAGAAACGCUGAGGAACUCUUGACAUGAAAACUCCAGUGGAAGAUGGAAACUGUGAUGACAGAAAUGGCACUGACCAGCCAGGCCCUGCCUGUGCCCUGCUUGGAACAUUGAUUGACAGAAAUGGCGCUGACCAGCCAGGCCCUGCCCGUGCCCUGCUUGGAACAUUGAUUGACAGAAAUGGCGCUGACCAGCCAGGCCCUGCCUGUGCCCUGCUUGGAACAUUGAUCAUGUGUUUGACCUUGACAUCAGCUUUCCGACACAAACACAGACUUGGGCACACACAAACACGCCCAGUAAAAAUAGUCUGAAUUAAGCCUUCCAGAUGCGUACUCCCUUCUUUCCUGAGGCAGAUGAAGUAGAGAAGAAUGAAGGCAAUUAACAAAUCUGGACGAAUCCACCCCAGAAGCAGCUCCUGCUGCACCCACCUCAGCAAAGAAUCCAGAGGCGACCCCUCCUCUCCAUCUGCUCCUCCUCCAGGCCACUGUCCUCUCUAACCCUUCUCACUGGCCCCUGCCUCCACUCUUGUCAGACAGCAAGCUACAGAAUAACUGGGGAAAUACUUUUUAAAAAAAUAAAUCAGACCACAUCAGGCUCUUCAGCAUGGAAAUGUGGCCGCAGCCCAUGGGCCAGCCCACCAGUGCCGAUCAUCCCCAUCACACCCCAUUAGUCCCCAUCGGACCCCUUCAUCCCCAUCAGACUCCAUCAGACCCCAACAGACCCCAUCAGUCACCACCAGAUGCCAUCACACCCCAUUAGUCCCAAUCAGUCCCCAUCAGACCCCAUCACCCUCAUCAGACCCCAUCAGACCCAUCAGACUCCAUCAGUCCCCAGCAGACCCCAUGAGUCCCCAUGAGUCCCCAUCAGACUCCUUCAGUCACCACCAGACCCCGUCAUCCCCAUCAGACCCCAUCAGUCCCCAUCAGACUCCAUCAGACCCCAACAGACCCCAUCAGUCCCCACCAGACUCCAUCACACCCCAUUAGUCCCCGUCAGUCCCCAUCAGAUUCCAUCAGUCCCCAGCAGACCCCAUGAGUCCCCAUCAGACCCCAUCACACCCCAUUAGUCCCCGUCAGUCCCCAUCAGACCCCAUCAGUCCCCAUCAGACUCCAUCAGACCCCAACAGACCCCAUCAGUCCCCACCAGACUCCAUCACACCCCAUUAGUCCCCGUCAGUCCCCAUCAGACUCCAUCAGUCCCCAGCAGACCCCAUGAGUCCCCAUCAGACCCCAUCACACCCCAUUAGUCCCUGUCAGUCCCCAUCAGACUCCAUCAGUCCCCAGCAGACCCCAUGAGUCCCCAUCAGACCCCAUCACACCCCAUUAGUUCCUGUCAGUCCCCAUCAGACUCCAUCAGUCCCCAGCAGACCCCAUGAGUCCCCAUCAGACCCCAUCACACCCCAUUAGUCCCUGUCAGUCCCCAUCAGACUCCAUCAGUCCCCAGCAGACCCCAUGAGUCCCCAUCAGACCCCAUCACACCCCAUUAGUUCCUGUCAGUCCCCAUCAGACUCCAUCAGUCCCCAGCAGACCCCAUGAGUCCCCAUCAGACCCCAUCACACCCCAUUAGUUCCUGUCAGUCCCCAUCAGACUCCAUCAGUCCCCAGCAGACCCCAUGAGUCCCCAUCAGACCCCAUCGCACCCCAUUAGUCCCCAUCAGUCCCCAUCAGACUCCAUCAGUCCCCAGCAGACCCCAUGAGUCCCCAUCAGACCCCAUCGCACCCCAUUAGUCCCCAUCAGUCCCCAUCAGACUCCAUCAGUCCCCAGCAGACCCCAUGAGUCCCCAUCAGACCCCAUCAGACCCCAUCACACCCCAUUAGUCCCCAUCAGACUCCAUCAUCCCCAUCAGACCCAUCAGCCCCAUCAGUCUCUGUCAGUUCCCAUGAGUCCCCAUCAGUCCCCAUCAGAUGCAUCAGAACUUUCUGAGCACGUCAUGGAGGAUGACAUCACACAAACCCCAGCUCUUCUUUUCCUCACAUUCGCCUGUGAAUCCAGCAGGCCCUGGGUGAGCACCUGCUGUGUUUAGGAGUCGCAGGUCCUAUUUUCCAAAGUGCUCAUGGCAGCCCCACUCCUCGUAGGCUGUGACUGGCUCCUCUAUGGAGGAGAGGGGUCUGUGUUUCUGCUCCUGACUCUGGGUGGCUGUGACUUGGCAGAAGCAACAUGGUGACACAGUUUCCUCUUGUCCAUCUAGCACACCAGCUCUCCAAGCCCAGCCUCCAGGCAGUGUGUAGGCGUUGCAGACAAGCGUGGGUGGGUGACCCAGUGAUGGCACAGCUGAGUGACAGCUGACAGCCACCACUGACCCCAGGUGGGUCAUGACCAGCCCUCAGAUACCCCUUGGCCCCAGGGGUGUGACCAUGAUGGCGAGACCCUGAGGACCACCUGGAGGUGCCCAGGCCACCCGGAACCCUGGAAGGGCACAAAGAGAGGAGGGCUCUUGUUCCAACCACAACUCUGGGGCGAUUUGUCACACAAUGAAUAACUGGAACUGUCCUGGGAACUGGGGACUCAGAGAUGAGGAAGACGGAGCUGUUGCCAGAGUCCACAUUCAGUCCAGAGAGGCAGCAGGAAGACAGACAGCCCCCAGAGAUGCUCUGUGCUCAGGCCUGAGGGCUGCAGGGGUAGCAGGCCCCUCCCUGGACCUUCUGGGACGCUGGCGGUGGCUCUGGGGUGCCUGCGGGUGGGUGUGUAUCAAGCUGGAGAUGCCCAUGGAGUGCCCAGGAGUCAGAUCCUCAGGUCAGCCAUCAGGCAAGAGUCCCCAGCCUCAUCUCUCCGGGGAUCAAUCCGCCAUGGUGUGAUUAAAUCAGUCAGUCCUGGCGCCAAAGAGAAAACAGCCGGUAAGGGACCACAAGGCGCCUGUACGAGUGUGAAGCUGCCGUCCUGGGACUCCAGUGCUGUCCCCUCCAGGGGCUUCCAGCACCGCCCCCCCCCACCCCGACCUUCUCUUACGUGGCACAUGAACUUGGAGGAUGCGGCUCCAGGUCUGCCCCGUCCUCACACAGGAGCGACUGAAGCACAGGUGGGCACCCACAUCUCAUCUGCUGGGUCCCACAGCAAAUCCCACCAGGGUUCCUCUGCGACAAACAUUUGCUGCCAAGGCUGAGUGGAGGCCAGCCAAGAAUGCGGCCAAAGCAAAGUGUGGCUUCUUCUUCUUCUUCUUUUUUUUUUUUGAGAUGUAAUUUCUCUCUUGUUGCCCAGGCUGGAGCGCGAUGGCGCGAUCUCAGCUCACGCAACCUCUGCCUCCUGAGUUCUCCUGCCUCAGCCUCCCGAGUAGCUGGGAUUACAGGCAUGUGCCACCACGUCAGGCUAAUUUCGUAUUUUUAGUAGAGACAGGGUUGCUCCACGUUGGUCAGGCUGGUCUUGAACUCCUGAUCUCAGGUGAUCCGCCUGCUUUGGCCUCCCAAAGUGCUGGGAUUUCAGGCAUAAGCCACCGCGCCCAGCCAAGCUGGUUGUGGGUCUCUUCUCCCUCCCCCGCUCCCUAUCUCAGAGGGAGAAGAGCCAGGGAGGGCCAGGAGGAUUCAGGCCUCACUGGGCCCUCCUGCACCCACCCCAGGGUCAGGGGGUCUGAGCAGCAUUCUGGGUUUGUAAAGAAACCCCAUCUCCAAGAAUUCUGGGGAGGAAGCCGUCCAGGGAGUGCUGUCUUGCAGGGUGGCUUGUGAGCGGUUUUAUCCCUUCUGUGACAGUCUUCAGUGAUGCUGGAAGCCUGGCCCUGCCGGGAGCUCCAGCCCAGCACAGCGCCUGGUGCCUUCCUCACUGUCACUGGACAUGAACCCUAGGAGGCAGUGUAUGUCCACAGGUCAUUUCUCCCUGAGAACUGUCUCAGCUCCAAAAUCACUCUUACUGUUUUCCUAUAACCCCGCCUGGCUGUCCCUGUGGGCAAUUUCAGAGCUACAUGUGUGCUGUGUGCAUUUCCAGUGGGGAGAGAUGGCUUCCUACCUGUUUUCACACUCUUUCUUUAAUCCCUGCUCAUAAACACUAUUUCCGCAGAACCCCCGAAUCAGUGAUAGUCAGAAAAUAUAGCAGGUACUGCACUCUAGCCUGGGCAACAGAGCGAGACCCUGUCUCUGAAACAACAACAGCAAAAGCCUUUCUGGUAGAUGGUGGUGUACACGCUGGUCUUAGUUUCUAUCCAGUUUAAAAAUCUUUGCUAUUUAAUUGGAGUGCUUAGAUCAUUAAUGAAAUGAAUUAUAUGGUUAGGUUUAAGUUUACCCUGUCUCUAAUUUAAAAAUAAAAAGAAGGCUGGGCGUGGUGGCUCAUGCCUGUAAUCCCAGCACUUUGGGAGGCCGAGGCUGGAUCACGAGUUCAGGAGUUCGAGACCAGCCUGACCAACAUGGUGACACCCCAUCUCUACUAAAAAUACAAAAAUGAGCCGGGCGUGGUGGCGGGCGCCUGUUAUCCCAGCUACUCAGGAGGCUGAGGCAGGAGAAUUGCUUGAACCCGGGAGGCGGAGUUUGCAGUGAGCUGAGAUCGCGCCACUGCACAACAGCUUGGGCAACAGAACAAGACUCUGUCUCAAAAAAAAUAAAAAAUAAGGCCGGGCGUGGUGGCUCAAGCCUGUAAUCCCAGCACUUUGGGAGGCCGAGGCGGGCGGAUCACGAGGUCAGGAGAUCGAGACCAUCCCGGCUAAAACGGUGAAACCCUGUCUCUACUAAAAAUACAAAAAUUAGCCGGGCGUGGUGGCAGGUGCCUGUAGUCCCAGCUACUCGGGAGGCUGAGGCAGGAGAAUGGCCUGAACCCGGGAG